CCAGACUCCUACGGGAGGCAGCAGUGAGGAAUAUUGGUCAAUGGUCGGGAGACUGAACCAGCCAAGCCGCGUGAGGGAUGAAGGUACAGAGUAUCGUAAACCUCUUUUGUCAGGGAACAAAGGCGGGGACUAGUCCCCGGAUGAGGGUACCUGAAGAAAAAGCAUCGGCUAACUCCGUGCCAGCAGCCGCGGUAAUACGGAGGAUGCGAGCGUUAUCCGGAUUUAUUGGGUUUAAAGGGUGCGCAGGCGGCCUGUUAAGUCAGGGGUAAAAGCCGGGGGCUCAACCCCGGCGAGCCGUUGAAACUGGCUGUCUUGAGAUGUCGAGAGGUAUGCGGAAUGCGCAGUGUAGCGGUGAAAUGCUUAGAUAUUGCGCAGAACUCCGAUUGCGAAGGCAGCGUACCGGCUCCACACUGACGCUGAGGCACGAAAGCGUGGGUAUCGAACAGGAUUAGAUACCCUAGUA
rnacentral:rRNA from 1 species